rnacentral:pre_miRNA from 1 species
AAAAAGUACCCUUCGUCCGGAAUUACUUAUCAUGAAAAUGGAUGUAUUUAAAUAUAUUUUAUUCCUAGAUAUAUCUAUUUUUUAUCAUUUCUGCGAGAAGUAAUUCGGGGCGAAGGGUAUUUUCU